rnacentral:snRNA from 1 species
AGCUUUGCACAGUGGCAGUAUCAUAGGCAGUGAGGUGUAUCCGAGGCAUGAUUAUUGUUAAAACAAUUCCUUGGGCACAGUAGUGUAUGCCUGUAAUCCUGGUACUGUCUGUGCCUGAU